UACGGAGGGGGCAAGCGUUGUUCGGAAUUACUGGGCGUAAAGGGCGCGCAGGCGGUCGAUCAAGUCGCGUGUGAAAGCCCCCGGCUACAACUGGGGAGGGUCACGCGAUACUGAUCGACUCGAAGGCAGGAGAGGGUAGUGGAAUUCCCGGUGUAGUGGUGAAAUGCGUAGAUAUCGGGAGGAACACCAGUGGCGAAGGCGACUACCUGGCCUGUUCUUGACGCUGAGGCGCGAAAGCUGGGGGAGCAAACGGG
rnacentral:rRNA from 1 species